UGGUUCUUCAUUCCGAUAACAUUGGAAUGGUAUAGAGAAGAUUAGCAUGACCUUUGCACAAAGGUGACACAUAUAAAUCGAGAAAUAGUCCAAAUAUUU